rnacentral:rRNA from 1 species
CAGUAGCCGCGGUAAUACGAAGGGGGCUAGCGUUGUUCGGAAUUACUGGGCGUAAGGGCGCGUAGGCGGCUUGACAAGUCUUGUGUGAAAUCUCAGGGCUCAACCCAGAGUCUGCACGGGAAACUGUCGGGCUAGAGGAUGGGAGAGGUGAGUGGAAUUUCCGGUGUAGCGGUGAAAUGCGUAGAUAUCGGAAGGAACACCUGUGGCGAAAGCGGCUCACUGGACCAUUUCUGACGCUGAUGCACGAAAGCUAGGGGAGCAAACAGGAUUAGAUACCCCAGUAGUCCCUGUCUCUUAUAAA